AAAAGAGACUAAAAGGAGAUAGAAAUAGGAAUAGCUCCAACGCCCGGCUCGAGCUCCGAACGGCUUCUGGAGAACGAUAAAAAGAACGAAGAAGAAGAAGAGAAGACGGAGCGGGUGUUGUUCGAGGAAGAAAGCGAGCAGUUUGGUCUCCAAAAGGCGCCCCUUUUGCUCCCUUUCUCCACCUCUUGGUCGUAUCAAACCAAUCCUCUAAUUUGAAGCUUCAAUCAUACCUUGGGAAGGGAGGAAUAUAUUUCGGUGGUUACCAGUUGGAAAUCUUGAUCUUUGAUUUGAUUUGGGCUUGGGAGAUAUGUUGGAAAACGAUUCAGACUUCAUCUCGAGGGUGCUUCAGAGCUCUUCGGAACAGGAAUCCAAUUGGAUUUGCGUGGACUACGACUUCCUGGAGUCCUCGGGCAACAAGAAGCGCCCACUGGAUGAGGAGGUGGAAGAACAGGAACAGGAGGAUCAGGUUAAAAGGAAGAAGUCACCGCAGCAUCCCGAUACCCCUGAUAUCAAAGACGUGCAGCACGCUCUGGAAAAUUCUGAUAACCAUGGAAAUGAUGUGGACUAUAAUGACCCAAGCACCUUCAUCAAUCCUCUUGACAGGGAACUGACAAUUAGCUGUCUUCUUCACCUCUCCCGGUCCUAUUAUGGUACUGUGGCAUGCAUCAACAGUUCCUUCUGCUCGCUCAUCCGAAGUGGGGAGCUCUACCAGCUGCGCCGUCAGAUGGAGAUCGCCGAGCACUGGGUCUACUUCUCUUGUAGUGUCCUUGAGUGGGAGGCAUAUGAUCCCUACCGUGCAUGCUGGAUUACUGUUCCUAAGAUGCCACCUACCGAGAGCUUCAUGUGUUCAGAUAAGGAGUCCCUUGCCGUGGGCACUGAUCUCCUUGUUUUUGGGAGGGAGCUUAAUUCCUACAUUGUUCUUAGAUAUAGCAUUUUGACUAACUCUUGGUCCCCUGGUGUAGUAAUGAAUUCACCUAGGUGUUUGUUCGGAUCUGCUAGCCUUGGAGAGAAAGCUAUUGUGGCUGGUGGUACCAAUGCCCAGGGUGACAUACUUAGCUCUGCGGAGCUUUACAAUUCUGAGACACAGACUUGGGAGACCUUACCUAGUAUGAACAAGGCUCGGAAGAUGUGUUCAGGAGUGUUCAUGGAUAGAAAAUUCUAUGUCAUUGGUGGCAUGGAUAGUAAUAAGGAGAUGCUUACCUGUGGAGAAGAGUAUGACUUGGCGAGAGGCUCUUGGAGGGUAAUUCCUAAUAUGUCUGCUGGUCUCAAUGGUGCCAGUGGUGCACCACCACUUGUAGCUGUGGUGAACAAUGAUCUUUAUGCAGCUCAUUAUGCUGAUAAGGAGGUGAGGAAAUACAAUAAGGAUAAUAAUGCAUGGGUGACAUUGGGAAAAUUACCUGAGAGAUCUGUUUCAGUGAAUGGUUGGGGCCUCGCAUUCCGUGCAUGUGGUGAAUGGCUAAUUGUUAUCGGCGGGCCAAGAGGAUCUCAUGGAGGGAUAAUUGAGCUCAAUUCUUGGAUUCCAAAUGAAGGGCCACCCGAAUGGAAUAUGAUUGCAAGCAAGCAUUCAGGAAGCUUUGUUUAUAAUUGUGCUGUGAUGGGCUGCUGAUUUCUCCGAUUCAUCUUGCCUGUAUUUUGCAAUUCCUGGAAGGAUGCACAAUAUUGGCUUAUUAGAGGGUAGUGAACUUUUUCCUAUGCUGAACGAAUUUUAAUCCAGGCCUAAAUUCACAUGAUAGUUGAAUCAAGCAUAGAGGGGAUUAUAUUGGUUAAAGAUUUCAUGGGGAAACUGAUGUUGCAGUAAAUGAACCAAGGCCUUAGAUUCAGUCAAGACUUUGUCACCAGAUUUGCUAAAAUCUGGCAGCAGCUUAUGAGUCGAUCCUCGUCUUACAUAAGGCAGCCAACAGUCUAAUCUUCAGUUUGAGACAGAGAAAGGUAUCAGUUGGGAGUACCCUGCUACAGAAGACUGGUAGGGUUUUAAGGCUUUCAAGUAGUUUAUGUGCAGCAGAGUGGACAACGAGGAAAACCGAAGAAUGAUUCACAUUGUAAGCAGAACAUUCCAAAAUGAGAGGUAAGGAUGAAAAUAAACAGAGACCGAGUCUGGUGGUUCCUAGUAAUCCCAAGGAUCACUAGCUCUGCACUUUGUGCAUUGUCUCACAUGAUGGGGGAUACAACAUCACGCUCAUUCCAAGAAGCUCAGUGAAUUGCGUCUCAUCAUCAAGAAGAAAACAGAAAUGAUUAGUAAAGAGAUUUGCAGGAUAGGUGACUGAGAGAACCUGGCACAUUCUGCGGCGUUGUACCUCAUGGGAACUGCUAUGCGCAGUCUCGCAGAUGGAGCGGGCCGCGGUAUGGAUUGGUAUCAUCUAUGGGUUUCGCGUCCCGUACGCCGCAAGGAGUCCUUCCUGGGUCAGGUGCGGCUUCUCCUACUCAUCGUGUGAUUGGCCGCCAGCGACCGGACUAUCUUAAAGUACGACCCGGAGCAGCACCACCGUACCGGGCACCUCCGUUGAGUUGCGUGCUUCCUUUUCGGCGCUCCAUCAAGCCCAACUGGCAUCCCGCACGAAUCACGAUGACGUGCUCAUGUACGCUUCCACUUCGUGAACCGCCCGCGUGACGCCCUAAGCGUUGUCUUGGCCGACCAAACACGGAAAGAACCCUUCCCAUUGGUUAAAAAUGAUUGAGCCCGGACGGAACCGCCAAUCAAAAGCAUUAAUC